rnacentral:rRNA from 1 species
AGAGCGAACGCUGGCGGCAUGCUUAACACAUGCAAGUCGCACGAGGGGGCAACCUCUAGUGGCGGACGGGUGAGUAACGCGUAGGUAUCUAUCCUGGGGUGGGGGAUAACGGCUGGAAACGGCUGCUAAUACCGCAUGACACCUGAGGGUCAAAGGCGUGAGUCGCCUUGGGAGGAGCCUGCGUCCGAUUAGCUUGUUGGUGGGGUAAAAGGCCUACCAAGGCGACGAUCGAUAACUGGUCUGAGAGGAUGAUCAGCCACACUGGGACUGAGACACGACCCAGACUCCUACGGGAGGCAGCAGUGGGGAAUAUUGGACAAAUGGGGGAAACCCUGAUCCAGCAAAUGCCGCGUGAGUGAAGAAGGUCUUCGGAAUUGUAAAAGCUCUUUCGGCGGGGACGAUGAUGACGGUACCCGCAGAAGAAGCCCCGGCUAAACUUCGCGCCAGCAGUCCGC